rnacentral:sRNA from 1 species
UUUUAGCCCCGAUGGGAGCGGCAUCCUUUUUUGGUAGCUGAAGCGCCAUGCUGAGCUUGUCGAAGUACUCUCGAAGUCACCGAAAAAGAUAGAGCGGACAGCGGGAACGACG